UGAAUACACUUAUUGUAAGUCGCUUUGGAUAAAAGCGUCUGCUAAAUGACUGUAAUGUAAUGUAAUAACCGAGCAUGUAUCAUACUAACAUUAUUUGCAAUGGUUUCCAAAAUUGUGUCAGUGUCAGGAAAAAUCAUAAUUUGUAUGUAAUCCAUGACCAGAUUAAUCCACUGGGGGUUCAGAAAUGAGAUGCGAGCCACUACUGACCCUUUAUUUGUGGUACACUAGUUAACCACAAAUAUAUUUAGGGAUAUACAGGAUGCAAAUUAUGACACAGGUAGACAAUACAGACUAAUGCAGGGCCACUUUAAAGCUGUGAUCAUGUCAUAUGAUAUUGUAUUUUACUGGUACAUAUUUUCAAACACAUAUAAUUAAAAAAUUUAACCAACACGUACACUCUGGGGCCUUUGAGGCCUCCUUCAGGAACCUGAGAGGCCUCCAACUUGUCAACUGGUUUGUGCUAUUUUAAUUAUUGUGUGCGUAUAUGUAGGCCUUUCGUACAGAAAAACUGUACCUAAUGUAGAAAGACUCAUUUAAAUCUGGUUCAAUAGCGGCCCUGCAGCUAAUUGAGCUGUUCAGGACACUUACAUACAGGUGUUCGUGUGUGUCCGGAUCAGUUAAAAAAGUACAGAGGCAGGUCCGUCAUGUAUUGCAGUGUGCUGCCAUCUGUCGGGAGAUGCCAUUUGUUUGUUAACCAGCAGUUUGUAGGUGAACGAGCCUCACAUCUUGCAUGUUAUAUCUGCUCCUAUAAAGCAACCAAAUAAUGAAUCUUCAGAAUAACUUUACGUUAAACCCUUUAGCAAUACCUAAAGGAGGAGCUCCAGUAUACACACAACAGCCGCUCGGAAGAAUACCCCAGGACUUCAAAGAAGCAAUGCUACACAUCCCAGUGAAACUAGCAAACCACACACACAACAGUCUGUCUGACAUGGCUGCUAAGACACAACCAGCCCAGAAACGUGCAGUGACACGUUCUGAGGAUAAAUGGAGGUCUUCAUUCAAACCAUUAGGACAACAAGAAGACUCUCUGGACAAAAACACUGACAGUCCACAAAGGGUUGAAAUGUAUGAUCCUUACGACCCUCUCUCGUCAGACUCUGAGCACGAGAUGCUACAAAACGACAACAAAUCCCCUCAUGAUGAGGAUUGCGACCUGGGACGCCAGUGUUCGUCUCCAAGUAGUGGCUUCCGUAAAAAGCGCCGCUGGGGGUCAUGCUACUCUGAGUCAGUGAGCCACCCCCUUGACAAAUGUGACUUUAGCCCUGAAACCAGACCCACCCAGAGUGAAGGUCUCAGUCCAGGUCAUAGACUGCCUGAACAACAGGCUUAUAGCCUCAACACGGAAUCUCUUGAUCAAACGGGUUAUGACUCCAUAAGCAGCCCUCUGGACCACAGGGUGUGCAGCCCCGACAGGCUUAUUCACGCCUCCUCCGCCCAACAGUUUCCUGCAUGUUAUGGAGGAGAGAGGAUCGACGGGGAGGAGAGGAUAAUAAUCCCAGAAUACGAAAGAGAGAUGAACACUGCUGUUAGAUUAUCCCCCCCCAGGUUACAGCAGGACUAUCAACAGUUGAAAUACUUGGGAACAGGACAGGACCAAGACUCACCUUCCACAGAGGACUCAAGAAACGGGAAUAUGAAUAUAAUAAUGGACAAGAGACCCAUCUCUUGUGACUUUUGUGAAGUUGAGUUAGCCAAUGGUGGGGAGCUGGAGGAUCACUUGGAGAGCAAGAGUCACUGGGACACCCUGGAGCACAUCCAGCAGCAGAAUAAUUAUGAUGAUCUGGUUAUAGCCUUCCUGCAGGAAGUCAUGCAGUAUAAAAGCCAUCAGUGCAGCCGAGCCAUAGAGGAUGGUUCUCUUCAAGCUCUGGAGGAAAAUGACCACAUGACAAAGAUUGAAAUGUUCCACUGUGCAGCUUGCAGUGCCUUUGUAUCCACGUCUGCAUCCUCAGUGCACACCCACAUUGCCUCUCAGGAACACCUCACCAACAUAAAGGAGUUUCAAGUGCAGCAGAGACGUUCUUGCCUCGACAAAGCAGAAACCAUGAUGAAGGAGCUGAAACCUCAGUUUGAACACUUCCUGAAGGUAUUUAGCAAAACGCAGUACAACUAAUGGCGUCAUGGAAAAAUGAACAAAGAACAGAGCCUAGAAAAACAGGGAGGAACUCUCUUGGGUGGCAGCCCAUUUGAAUGAUGGAAAUCGUUGGAAGACUCCAAAAUACUGUUUACACUGAUUCAAACAUCAGUCACAGCCACACAUAAAUGCUGCAGCACCACUAAUGUACAGUAGAUUGCUAAGAAAGUACAUUGAUUGUGUCAUUCAGGAUUUGUCCAAAUAAAAUGGAGGCAUAUUGUUCUCACAAUAUGGAUUUUCUUGCAUCUUUGUACACAGUCUAGUACUCCCAGGUCAUCACCAUUUAGUCAGUGUGUCAUUUUCUAAAUGUACAGAUUCAAUGUUUUUAUAAUUUGUGUGGAAAAAAAAUGAUUGAAAAAAGUCAACUUGUUUCUUUUUGUUUUUAUUUAGAACACAAAUGUUUUAAGCAUUGUAUCUUUGUGAUAUAGUACAUUUGAAAUAAAAUAAUUUGAAAACAGUAUAUUUAAACAUUAAAUAUAGGUGACAUGUAUGAAGGGCUUCGUCAGCACUGGCUGUGCCGAGUGUCUUUUUCUUAACCACCGUCAUUUUUCAUUUUGUUUUUGUAUUAGAAACAAUGCAGUUAUUGAAAUACUAUAAAACACUUUCUAUGCAUAACAAGUUUUCAGACAUUUUUCUUGUACAGUAGCUCACCUUUCCACUCACGAUUCCUGUAACUGUUAAUUGUGAGCUUUCAGGUGCCGUCAUUUUCAGUUGAAUUUAUCUCACCAACUCUGUGGCCUGAAAACAGAGGCUGUGGGCUUGGAUUUAAACAUGGUUGCAAUACAAAAGAAAAAUAAUUCUAUGUAUCUUUAAAAUGUGAAUAGUGAUACAGAAGAGAGGUGUUGACAAAAACGGACUCAAACCAUGAGAAAUCUGAGGUAAAAGUUGUCUUCAUUAGAAAUGGAUUCCACACUACAUUACUGCAUAAAACAAGAAAACAGUCCGUCCAUUUGGAAUUGUAUUUCCAAAAAAAUGGACCAUGUAAAAACAGAAAAAAGGAAUAAUAUCCAAAAUAAUUAACUUUUUUCAUCUGUCCAAACAUGCACAAUAUCUCCAUCAUUGAGCAAUAUUGUACUUUUGGGUCAGCGAUUGAGGAGAAAAAAAAAAAAGAGUGAAAGAACAUCCAAUGUACAUACACAUACAGGUCAGUGAACUCUAAAAAGGUCCCCGUUGGCUUCAUGAAGCAGCAUGUGUGGCUGUCAGAGAGCUGUCUUGGUCAGUCUUGAGGGUCGGGGAGUCCGCGGGCAGCAAGGCGACCUCUACCAUGCUUAGCCCAGUGUGAGGGACACUAGUGUUCAUAAUGUGUCUCUGUAAAUGUUUGAUCCAGUCCUCCUGGACCGACAAGGGACCCUGGAAGACGAGGUCACAGAACCUGUCAAGAGAAGAAGAGAUUGAACAUAACGGAUCAACACGCAGUGGUUUUGAGCCACGCUUAGCAGCAUGUCUAGGGAUAGGAGCACCGGUCUGAGGCCGGUGGCACCACUUUGAUCCAGACUAAAGUUAUUGGAUGCCAUGAAAAGCUGUACUGACAGUCAUGUCCCCCUCAGGAUGAAUUGCAAUAACUUUGGUGAUCAAUUAAUGUUUUAUCUGGUGCCACCAAGAGGUCUAAAUUACAUUUUUAAUAAUAACUUGGUUUAUGAUCAAAUACCUGCAUAUUGUUAUGAUUCCAAUGCUUCCAUUGGUGCGCAUGAACAGGAGAGGCCAGCCAAAAUCAGAACUUCACUUAAUACAUUGCUUAGGUUUAGAUUCAAUUUAUUUUUUAGACAAACUGUAUAAAACAAAUUAAACUCAUUUUUAAGACAACUACUACUACCAUCAUGUUCAUUGUGCAAAAUUUGGUGUUUAUUGUCAACUUACAAUAAAAGUCUGUGCAACCAAUUUGUUUUUACUGGGCCUCUGCUGUUUUGCUGCCUUUGUUUAGAUUUAGUUGUUCCAGUUUUGGUUCAGCUGUUAUUUUACAAUGCAUGAUCAUCACAAUGAUUGUUUGCGACAUAUAAUUUCACUCUCAGUUUCACCAUGUUUGGGCUACAUCCAUGACAAUAGGCCUCUCAGUCAUCUAGGCAGUUUUAGUUUUACAAAUAAAGUGGAUUGGCAACAGAAGCAAAUAGACCACAACAAUUACCCAGGGCAACAAUCACUGUUGAAGUCUGUUAGACUGCAGAUGCAAUAUUAUCCGCCAUUUAAAAAGACUGAGUAUUAUAAACAAAAUACAAGCACUACCUGCAGGUGAGCCUGUACAUUUCCUCUGGAGUUUGUGGUAAGGGCAGUGUCUUCUUCUUUGAGCCAGGCCUUGAGCGUUGCCUCCUUGCUUUACAGUCGAAUGCUGAAAGACAGAAUUAACUGUAUUACUUUACAGCCCUACCUUUGAGAUCACAGCACAGCCUUGCCAAUUUAACAUUUAAAAAAUGGACACAAAGUGUAUGACAACCACAAAAAAGUUAGGAUGUUGUUUAGUGAAAAUUGUCACAGUCAGUGACAGUUUGGAUGACUGGACCUUAGCAGCCUUCACUUUAUUCAUACUCAUGUUUUCGCCUCGUGACAGUGAGGUGAAUGGUCUGGCUGAGGUGUCUCUUCUGUAUUGGCCCAAUCAAGAGUAGCUAUGACACAAGGCCCCAGAUAUAAGUGUGAUGAUCGGUGACCGAAGGAAAAGUAGGCCCUGAAAGCUUUCUGCCAAGAAGAGGUCGCUCCUCCCACAGAUGCACCCACCAAGCUCCACAAUUAAAAUCUUUGCAAUAUCUUACCCGCUGACGCCCUUCUGGAUCCUUACCUUGGG